CCUACGGGUGGCAGCAGUGAGGAAUAUUGGUCAAUGGGCGUAAGCCUGAACCAGCCAAGUCGCGUGAAGGAUGAAGGUCCUAUGGAUUGUAAACCUCUUUUAUAAGGGAAUAAAGUGUGGCACGUGUCCCAUUUUGUAUGUACCUUAUGAAUAAGGAUCGGCUAACUCCGUGCCAGCAGCCGCGGUAAUACGGAGGAUCCGAGCGUUAUCCGGAUUUAUUGGGUUUAAAGGGUGCGUAGGCGGCUUUUUAAGUCAGCGGUGAAAGUUUGUGGCUCAACCAUAGAAUUGCCGUUGAAACUGGGAGGCUUGAGUAUAUUUGAGGCAGGCGGAAUGCGUGGUGUAGCGGUGAAAUGCUUAGAUAUCACGCAGAACCCCGAUUGCGAAGGCAGCUUACCA
rnacentral:rRNA from 1 species